UUUGAAUUCCAGCAUAAGUCCCAGAGUCCCAAAUAUUCUGCAGAAAAUGGAAGACUUUCAGGCAGCAUCUGAGGAAUUAAAAACCUUUUUUAGAAGCUAAUAAUUAUUAUAUUGAUGUGAGGACUCUCAGACAUCUCCUAAGAUAUCUGCAAAGGACCCAACCAAGAGGAGCUCAAGUAUUUGGAGGUACAGGAAGCGAUAUCCUAUUAUCUGGUAAAAGCACAGGUGGGGAUGAGAGAGUGAAUUUCUCAAAGAGCAGCCAUUGCUUGGAAACUGUCUGAAUAUUGAUCCACUGGAAGGAGGAGGCAAGUAAUUACUUCUGCAUCACUUGUGUUUUGGUUUUCUGUUACUCUUCACUUUUAUUAAUGUCUGUCUUUAUCUCAGCUUAUGAGUUUUCCUCACUUGUGUCCUUUCAGUUUCCUUCUCUGUACAUCUGACUGUGGGAACAGUGAGCAAGCAACCACAUGGCAGCUUAGCUGCCACCACUUAUGCAUUGAUGUGUUCUUGGUUUGCUGGAAUACUUGUUCAUUUGCUUUUGAUAGUCAUUCAGUAAGAGUUCCUUCUCCUGUAUGCCAGGUGAAGAAACAAGAAAGUAAAGUUUGCAAUGCCUGUUUAAAAACAUUGCCAAAAGGUCACAGAAUCAUUAUUAUUCCACUCAAUAUCUUAAACAUUAGAAUUUGAAAUGAAAUAAGUUAAAUCUUUCCUUUGACCUUUCUUUUACAAAAUAUGCUUGAAGCCUGGGGCUUGUAUCAUUUAUGAAGAUGGAUCCUAUACUUAGCUGUUGGCCUAAGAAGAAGUUAGUCCUUGGUGCAGAGAAUGAUUUUAUACCUCUCCAAAGAACCAGUCACAGAAGCAGUGAAAUGCAAAAGAAGAACAGCGUCUUUAGGGCAAGAUAUUUCUAGUUGAAUAUUACUAUUUACUGAAAAAGCUUUCCUUUUAAAUCUACUUUCACUAAUUUCUCAGUGUAACUCGAAAACCCUUCAGAAUGUAAUAUGCAGAAAACAGUAGAAAUGUUUUUUCAGAACACACUCUGCUGCAUAAGUAAGCACCUGAAUCACAAGAGAUUGUAAAGGGCAUGAACAAAAUAACAAGAAUAACAAAAGAAACAGCAGAUCUAGUCAGUGCUGAAGUUUGUGUAGCAAAAUACGUACUGAUUUAUAUAUGCUCCUAGGCAGUCCCUGUAAAUAUUUUUGUUAUAUUUUCAUUCCAUGACAGCAAAUAUUCAACAAGGAACUAAAAUGGAGUUAAAGAUUUUGUGCAUUAGGGGGUAGGCUCUUAAAAUUAAAAACACUGUCAAAGAAAGGAACUUUUCACUAAAAGUGUAAGAUCUGUCAUAGUGAUGUAGAGAAGAUGAAAACCCUAAGUCUGUAAAAUAGGAUGCUACCAUACUUUUGAUAUAAUUUAAGCAUUUAACUGUUAGCAUAGGUUCUGGUAAAAGUCAUCAGAUCUGUUUCAGGGUAUAUUUGCAUCUCAGAGUCAGGAUGCGUCAGUACCAGAGGUAAGCAAACUGCACACUCAGAGCAUCAAAGAGUGUUACAAAUUUUACUCAGCAUAACUCAGCAUACUCACACUCAGACACACACAGGCAUCCAUUACAGAUAAUCCCGAUGAUUGGUAAGCAGAAAUUCCCUAAGCAAGUGCACUAUUACUUAUCAGUCCCUGAGAGAUGGAAAACUGACAAAAAAGAGAGAGGAGACACAUGCCAGCAGUGGAUUUGAUAGGUGGAGUCAGCAGAGCAUCCCCUGCUUCAAGGUACACUUUUUCCUCUCUCACCCACUGCUUUUUUUCUCUCCAGAGUCUGCAGGGCUUUUUCCACUUGCACACUAUACCAUGUGUGAUACAAAGCCCAAGUGGAAAUGCCUGUUUGAAAAGCAAGUCUUUGCCAAAAAAGGACAAACUACCAAGGUCAGCUUUCUCUACAAAACAAGAUAUUUGUGGCUUAGCCACAUCCAUUCAAACGAUCAGAAUUCUUUCUUCCAUCCCAGGACUGUUCUUCAAUCACAGACCUUCAGGUCCCCGACACAAGAUCCUAAAAAGAAUGGAGGACAGCCACCAGUCCUCCAUCUUGUAUCAUGUUAGUGUUGAAAAUUCACUUUUCCUAAGUGUAGUGCAGAACUGGAGUUUACGUCCUCAACCUUUCUUCAUUAGUCAACAUUCAGUGCAGUACAUCACUCAGUUUAUUGAUGAAAAUUGCCACGUAUGCACAGCGCAUAAAUUUGCAUUAUUGUCGAGUCAUUUGUUUUUAUCUGGAUGAAAUCUACUAGAAAACCACUUUAAUUCUUACUGUGACCUAUUUGUCUUGUAAUCACACAUAGUUUAAAAUGAGAGCUGAAAUAUUCAUUUGCCAUUUAAAUUAUGCAAAAUACUCUACAGGCUUCCAUAAAAUCUCAUGAAUCUGAGAGAUGUUUUCAGUUACACAAAGGCAGGAGAUGAGUGAAGCUUUUUGUCCUGUAAC